UUCAGUGAAUCAUCGAAUCUUUGAACGCAUCUUGCGCUCCUUGGUAUUCCGAGGAGCAUGCCUGUUUGAGUGUCGUGAUUAAAUCAUCUGCCCCCCCGCAGGCCCUUCACUGUGUCAUGGGUGUGGGUGGGACUUGGACGCUGCCUUCUUACUAUGAAGGGCUCGUCUUGAAAUGCAUCAGCUGUUUCCUCGUACGCAGACAACGGUGUGAUAAAGAAAACUCNCUAGCGUCUGUGUCACAUGGGGAUGGCUUCCAGUCCGUCUGUCUUCGGACUACCAAAGACAACACCCCCCCUAGAGUAUGACCUCAAAUCAGGCAGGACUACCCGCUGAACUUAA
rnacentral:rRNA from 1 species